rnacentral:misc_RNA from 1 species
UUGUCCAAUAAUUUUUUCAUUUCUUUUUCUUUUUUGGGAAAGUUUUUAGGGUUCUUAGCAGUUUGCAGUUUUCUAUCAUGGCCCUUGUAACGAUUCAUUUUGCAGUGAUUUUUUAUGUGGUUAAGUGGGAUUGAUUCAAGUCCCAUUCAUUAUACAGAAGCAUUCGAAACGUUAUAUAGGUAGUGUACAUAGUACCUAUAUAACGUUUCAGAAGUUUGACAGCUUGUGAAAAUAGUUCAUAUAUAUAGCAUUUUCCAAAGAAUAGUAAAAU